AUGCUGACCGCUGUGAGGGGAGCCCAGCUGCUCAGCCGCCUCGAUGCCCUGCGCUUGCACGCGCACGCACACACACACACUCGCACACACAGACACACAAGCGCGCGCACACACUCGCACACACACACACAGACCCGCGCGCACAAACACAGACAAGCGCGCGCACACACACUCACACAGACACAAACACGCGCGGACACACGCGCACACACUCGCACUCGCGCCCCGAGGGACUCAGCACAACGCAGGGCGGGGGUCUGCAGGCUUUCUGCAGGUCCCCGAGGCGCGCGGGACGGCGGCGUCCGGGCUCAGCCCUGGGAGUCAGCCAGAGCCCGGGAGGGACGCCUGGAUCGCGCUCUGCACAAGUCCCGGGACCAGGCGGGAACUCAGACUCCCGUCUGCAGAGCCACUUCCCCCGUCAGGGCUCUGGUCGCGCUAGCCGUUUCCUCCCUCCCCCGCGCGUCCCCUCCUCCGUCCCCUUUCCCUCCCCAGCUCGACCCUGCACCCCCGGACCCGGCCCGGCCCUACCUUCCCGCGGGCGGCCGCUCCGCGGGCUCUGGGGCGUAUCUGGGGGGCUCUGGGGCGGGCCAGGACGGCUGGCGGCACGGCUCGGGGGCGGGCGGCGGCGGGGGCCGGGGAGGCCAUGGCUCUCCGCCCUCCGCCCCUUUGUCCGCCGAGCCUCCCCCGGCCGCCCGCAAGCCCCUGGGGGUCCCCGCCGCGCGCGCUCCCGUGGGGUCCCCGCCGUCCCCGGCCCCAGCGGCUCGCUUCCCUCGGCCGGCCCAGCGCAGGCUCGCCCGCUGCCCCUGCCUUCUCUUCCCGCGGCUCCGCGACGAUCUGCGCGACGCGCGCCCCCUCCUCCCGACCCAUCCCGCCCGGCCCAGUGAGCUAAUUCGCAGCUGGCGGGCGCCCGGCCGGUUGCCACGGCAACCCCUCUCCCAGGGCCCGGCCCCGCGCGGAGCAGCGGUAAACAGGACCUUCUGCCGGACUCGCCCCCUCGCCUCUAGGGGUGGGGGAGAGGUGGCUUAA
rnacentral:lncRNA from 1 species